rnacentral:rRNA from 1 species
UACGUAGGGUCCGAGCGUUGUCCGGAAUUAUUGGGCAUAAAGGGCGCGUAGGCGGCUUGCCAAGUCAGGGGUGAAAUCCUGCAGCUUAACUGUAGAAGGGCCUUUGAUACUGGCGAGCUCGAGGGAGGUAGGGGUAUGUGGAACUUCCGGUGGAGCGGUGAAAUGCGUUGAUAUCGGAAGGAACGCCGGUGGCGAAAGCGACGUACUGGACCUCUUCUGACGCUGAGGCGCGAAAGCUAGGGGAGCAAACGGG